rfam:Candidatus Gottesmanbacteria bacterium RIFCSPLOWO2_01_FTLL_49_10 rifcsplowo2_01_scaffold_58358, whole genome shotgun sequence.
CUCCGCAAUGCUAUAAAGCUGACAAUGGAUGCCUAGGGCGUUUGUGCCGAGGAAGGACGUAUAUGGCCACGAUAGUCGUCGGGGAGGAGCCAUACUCCCGUGAUCCGGCGGUUUCCGAAUGGAGAAAUCCGUCCCGCUCUGCGGGACAAUCCGUCGUAAAACAGUUUUCGCACCAUGGAUCAAAUUGGUCUCAUUGGACACACGAGGCACAUUUGGUUUACGGUGCGGAAACUGAUAGCGACGGAUGGGGCACCAUCCGAACUGAAACAUCUAAGUAGGAUGAGGAAAAGAAAUCAAUUGAGAUUCCGUCAGUAGCGGCGAGCGAAAGCGGAAAAGCCUAAACCGAGCUUAGCUCGGGGUUGUGGGGCAGAAGUCGUGGGAUGUGUUGACGGUAGGAGAAUGUCUCGGAAUAGAUAACCACANNNNNNNNNNNNNNNNNNNNNNNNNNNNNNNNNNNNNNNNNNNNNNNNNNNNNNNNNNNNNNNNNNNNNNNNNNNNNUAGUGAACGAGUACCGUGAGGGAAAGGUGAAAAGCACCCCGGAAGGGGAAUGAAAGAGUACCUGAAAUUGUCAGCUAACAAACAGCGAGAGUUUGUGCUUCGCACAAAAGUCUUCAGUCAUCAGCUUUUAGCUUUCAGCUUAUAUGGAGGUAAAUUUAUAACAUACUUCUUAUUUGUCUGAUAGCUGACGACUGAUAGCUGAUAGCUUUCGUGCGGAGCACGAAUAAUCGCGUGCCUAUUGAAGAAUGAACCGGUGAGUUACCGUUGUCUGCAAGUCUAACCCUCAAAAUUUGCUCAUUCAUAAUGUGCACUGAAAAUUUGCGUGCGCAAAUUUUUAGUGAGCAAAUUUUGAGGGGGAGGCGCAGUGAAAGCGAGCCCUAAACGGGCGUCCUAGCAGGUAGCGGUAGACCCGAAACCGGGUGAGCUAACCAUGGGCAGGGUGAACCCCGACGAAAGUCGGGAGGAGGCCCGAACUCGUCAGAGUUACAAAUCUGUGAGACGACCUGUGGUUAGGGGUAAUAUGCCUAUCGAACCCGGAGAUAGCUGGUUCUCCCCGAAAUAUAUUUUGGUAUAGCGGUCGAUCAAGCGAUGGAGUGGUAGAGCACUGAAUGAUCACGGUUUCGCAAGGAAUCGCCUUCAAUCAAACUCCGAAUACUUACAUCGUUAUUCGGCCAGUCAGACAUGCGGGGCUAAGCUCGUGUGUCAAAAGGGAAACAGCCCUGAUUCUCAUCUAAGGCCUCUAAGUCUCUGCUCAGUGGUUAAGGAAGUCAUGGUUUUAAGACACCCAGGAGGUUGGCUUAGAAGCAGCCAUCCUUUAAAGAAAGCGUAACAGCUCACUGGAUGAAAGCCGUGGCGCCGAAAAUGAUCGAGGCUCAAGCAGAGCGCCGAAGAUAGAGAUUCUCCGCCUUUGGCGGAGAGUGGUAGGGGAGCGUUCUGACUGCAGUGAAGCAUACGCCGUAAGGCGGUGUGGAGCGGUCAGAAGUGAGAAUGCCGGUAUGAGUAGCGUUUGGAUGUGAGAAUCAUCCAUGCCGAAUGCGCAAGGUUUCCGAAGCAACGUUCGUCGACUUCGGGUAAGUCGGAUCUAAGGCGAGACCGCCAUUUGGCGGUGUAGCUCGAUGUAGAAACGGUUGAUAUUCCGUUACAAGGAAGUGUCGAUUAAGACGCAAAGGAACGACAAAGUGGGACGUGUCUGUGGGCUGAUUCGUUGGCCUUUAAGCUUUGAGACAGGAGUAACUGGCAAAUCCGUAACUCUGUUUAAUUAAGAAGCGAAUAGGAGUCCAAGCCGAAAGGUGCGGGCAACACAGAUAGUUUCGUUUUCGAGAAAAGUUUCGUUGCGAGGCACUUUUUUUCCGUACCGCAAACCGACACUGGUGCGCUGGUAGAGUAUACCAAGGCAAGCGGGCGACAGUGGUUCAAGGAACUCGGCAACAAAAGCUGGGCGUAACCUUUGGGAGAUGCCCUGCCCGCCGCAAGGCGGGCCACAGUAAAUGACACUACGCGACUGUUUAACUAAAACACAGGUCUCUGCGAAGCCGUAAGGCCACGUAUAGGGGCUGACACCUGCCCAGUGCCGGUAAGUUAAGUGUGCUCAGUGACUUUAAGCAAUUAAAGAAGCCAGGUACACAAGCUCCGGUGAACGGCAGCAAUAACUAUAAUUGUUCUAUGGUAGCGAAAUUCCUUGUCGGGCAAGUUCCGACCCGCACGAAAGGUAGAACGACGUAGUGACUGUCUUGAACCAUUACCCGGCGAAAUUGAAAUGGCUGUGAAGAUGCGGCCUACUUGCACAUGGACAAAAAGACCCCGUGGAGCUUUACUGCAACUUGGCACUGAGGACCUUAUUUUGACUGUCGAGCAUAGGAGGGAGCACUGAAAUCGAAAGAUUUUAGUGCGCCAGUGAAAUACCUCUCUUCGAAAUGAGGAAAUCUGACUUACUCCUGCAUAAAAAUCCAGGAGAAGAACACUGCCUGGUAGGCAGUUUAACUGGGGAGGUUGCCUCCAAAAGUGUAACGGAGGCGUACAAAGGUUGGCUAACCCUGAAUGGAAACCAGGGCACUCAAGUGCAAACGCAAAAGCCAGCUUGACUGCGAGACUUACAAGUCGAGCAGGGACGAAAGUCGGUGUUAGUGAUCCUCGGAUACCUCGUGGGAGGUACCGGGCUUAACGGAUAAAAGCUACCCCGGGGAUAACAGGCUGAUCGCUUCCGANNNNNNNNNNNNNNNNNNNNNNNNNNNNNNNNNNNNNNNNNNNNNNNNNNNNNNNNNNNNNNNNGGAUAACAGGCUGAUCGCUUCCGAGAGUCCAUAUCGACGAGGCGGUUUGGCACCUCGAUGUCGGCUCAUCCUAUCCUGGGGGUGGAGAAGCUCCCAAGGGUCCGGCUGUUCGCCGGUUAAAAGGGUACGCGAGCUGGGUUCAGAACGUCGUGAGACAGUUGGAGAUUCAAAGCUGUCCGCUUUCAGACGUUUAUUUAAGAAACCCCAUCGAGAUUAUUUACUGUUAACAUGAAAGCCAUUUUUACUUACACUUAAGUGAAAUGUAAAAUCUGACUAUAUGCUGGAAACUCCGAGCAUCCAACAAUACCCCUUGGUAACAAUUUGUUGGUGCGGAUUAUCAGCAGGGAAGGCCCCGAUUUAAUCGUGGAACCCUCAGAGACUAUAUGUCAGACCCCGCACGCUUCUGCGCUGUGGGGAAGAUAUAGUCCGAACUGUAUAGCGAUAUACAGAGUGUCCAUAGAAAUAUGGCACCUCGUUAUUGACGAGUAACAUUUUUGUCGGUCUCUAUCCUGUGCAAGCGCUCGAUUCUUGAGGGGAGUUCUCCGUAGUACGAGAGGACCCGGAGGAACAGAUCCCUGGUGUGCCUAUUGUCGGAAAACCGGCAUCGUAGGGUAGCUAUAUCUGGACGGGAUAAGUGCUGAAAGCAUCUCAAGCGCCAAGCCCACCCCAAGAUGAAGAAUCGUUACAAGGUCCGUUGCAGAAUACGACGUUGAUAGGCGAGAAGUGUACGCACCGCAAGGUGUUUAGCUUACUCGUACUAAUAGACCAAAUAUUGUGGAGAA